CAAUCCAAUAAACAAGAUUAACUAAGAAAUUCAAAGAAAUUGAAAGCAUAAUCAGGAAAUUUCAAGCUCUUAUCUUGUUCAUUCAAGGGGCGUGAAGGAAGAGGGCUCGAGUGCUAAGAAAUCGGAAGGGGUACAAGAUCGAGGUAAAACUCCACUUUAGGCGAUCUGGAGAUUUGGAGCGAGCACGUGUCCAUGCCUUAUUUUAUCAAGCGCUUCCGCUAGUUUAUAUGCAUACUUUUUGGGUCCAUGUCUUGUUAUUUUGUUUAAUCUUGUUAGAAGUCAUACACUUGAAAACUUGUUGUCUUUGUUUGGGGUAGUUUAAUGCUAAUAGGGUUGUA